rnacentral:rRNA from 1 species
AGAGUUUGAUCCUGGCUCAGAACGAACGCUGGCGGCGUGGAUUAGGCAUGCAAGUCGAACGGGAUCUCUGGAACGGACUCUUCGGAUGAAGUUCUUGAGUGAGAGUGGCGAACUGGUGAGGAACACGUGGGUAAUUUGCCCUUAAGUUCGGGAUAGCCCUUCGAAAGGAGGUGUAAUACCGAAUGUGGUCGCCCCGGACAUCCGGGGCUGUCUAAAGGUGGGGAUCUUCGGACCUGCCGCUUCUGGAUGUGCCCGCGUCCCAUCAGCUUGUUGGUAAGGUAACGGCUUACCAAGGCUAAGACGGGUAGCUGGUCUGAGAGGAUGGUCAGCCACACUGGGACUGAGACACUGCCCAGACUCCUACGGGAGGCUGCAGUCGAGAAUCAUUCGCAAUGCACGAAAGUGUGACGAUGCGACGCCGCGUGGAGGAUGACGGCUUUCGGGUUGUAAACUCCUGUCAUAAGGGAAGAAUCUCCGGCCGGUUAAUAACCUGGCCGUGUGAAGGUACCGGAAGAGGAAGCCACGGCUAACUCUGUGCCAGCAGCCGCGGUAAUACAGAGGUGGCGAGCGUUGUUCGGAUUUACUGGGCGUAAAGGGUGCGUAGGUGGUAUGGUGUGUCGGAUGUGAAAUCUCACUGUCCAACGGUGAAACUGCAUUCGAAACUGCCGUGCUAGGAGUACAGGAGGGGAGAGCGGAAUUCUUGGUGUAGCGGUGAAAUGCGUAGAUAUCAAGAAGAACGCCGGUGGCGAAGGCGGCUCUCUGGACUGAUACUGACGCUGAGGCACGAAAGCUGGGGUAGCGAAGAGGAUUAGAUACCCUCGUAGUCCCAGCCGUAAACGGUGUGCACUUGGUGUGGGCGGCUUUGUCCCCGUCCGUGCCGGAGCUAACGCGUUAAGUGCACCGCCUGGGGAGUACGGCCGCAAGGCUAAAACUCAAAGAAAUUGACGGGGGCCCGCACAAGCGGAGGAGCAUGUGGCUUAAUUCGAUGCAACGCGAAGAACCUUACCUGGGUUUGACAUGAUACUGCACGUCCCGGGAAACCGGGAUUUCUUCGAGAGUGUCUUACAGGUGCUGCAUGGCUGUCGUCAGUUCGUGUCGUGAGAUGUUGGGUUAAGUCCCGCAACGAGCGCAACCCCCGUCCCAUGUUGCCAGCAAGUAAUGUUGGGCACUCUUGGGAGACUGCCGGUGUCAAACCGGAGGAAGGUGGGGAUGACGUCAAGUCCUCAUGGACCUUAUACCCAGGGCUACACACGUACUACAAUGGCCGGUACAAAGAGGCGCCAACCCGCGAGGGGGAGCAAAUCUCAGAAAGCCGGUCUCAGUUCGGAUUGGAGUCUGCAACUCGACUCCAUGAAGGCGGAAUCGCUAGUAAUCGCGGAUCAGCAUGCCGCGGUGAAUACGUUCCCGGGUCUUGUACACACCGCCCGUCACACCAUGAGAGUCGCUUGUACCAGAAGUCGUCGAGCUAACCCGCAAGGGAGGCAGGCGCUUAAGGUAUGGUCAGUGAUUGGGGUGAAGUCGUAACAAGGUAACC